rnacentral:lncRNA from 1 species
GUCCCUUGCCAGGGGUGGUGACAGCAGCCACUCUGCACCAACACACCCGGCAGCCCCUUGGUAGCGCUUGAAAAAGCCUCUGAGGCCCCCUGGAUCGCCUGGUCCGAGGCCUGGGUUGUGUUUGCAGAGCCUGGCGAUCCUGCAUCCUGUGGUCAAGCUUUAUCGAGGCAUCAUACGGGGUUUCACCAUGUUAGCCAGGAUAGUGCUCCUGACCUCAGGUGAUCCACCUGCCUCAGCUUCCCAAAGUGUUGGGAUUACAGGCGCAAGCCACUGUGCUGCAAACUAUGCACUGAUCCUCUAGUUUCCAUGGUGGGGCGGCCAGGCCAGCAGGGGUUUCCAGACAGUCUGGGUCCUGGGGUCCCUGGGGCAGGGGGCAGAUCAGCUCCCCGAGUAGCUGGGAUUACAGGCAUGCACCACCACACUCAGCUAAUUUU